UUAAGUUCAGCGGGUCUUCCUACCUGAUCCGAGGUCAACCUUUAGAUGGGGGGGUGUUUAACGGCCGGGAAACCCGCGUCGCGCCCUGGGCGAGGUGUAAACUACUACGCUCGGGGUGACAGCGAGCCCGCCACUGGUUUUCGGGGCCUGCGGCAGCCGCAGGUCCCCAACACAGGCCCGGGGGCUUGAUGGUUGAAAUG
rnacentral:misc_RNA from 1 species